rnacentral:rRNA from 1 species
CGUGGCGGGGGUGCCUUAUUACAUGCAAGUCGAACGAACUCUGGUAUUGAUUGGUGCUUGCAUCAUGAUUUACAUUUGAGUGAGUGGCGAACUGGUGAGUAACACGUGGGAAACCUGCCCAGAAGCGGGGGAUAACACCUGGAAACAGAUGCUAAUACCGCAUAACAACUUGGACCGCAUGGUCCGAGUUUGAAAGAUGGCUUCGGCUAUCACUUUUGGAUGGUCCCGCGGCGUAUUAGCUAGAUGGUGGGGUAACGGCUCACCAUGGCAAUGAUACGUAGCCGACCUGAGAGGGUAAUCGGCCACAUUGGGACUGAGACACGGCCCAAACUCCUACGGGAGGCAGCAGUAGGGAAUCUUCCACAAUGGACGAAAGUCUGAUGGAGCAACGCCGCGUGAGUGAAGAAGGGUUUCGGCUCGUAAAACUCUGUUGUUAAAGAAGAACAUAUCUGAGAGUAACUGUUCAGGUAUUGACGGUAUUUAACCAGAAAGCCACGGCUAACUACGUGCCAGCAGCCGCGGUAAUACGUAGGUGGCAAGCGUUGUCCGGAUUUAUUGGGCGUAAAGCGAGCGCAGGCGGUUUUUUAAGUCUGAUGUGAAAGCCUUCGGCUCAACCGAAGAAGUGCAUCGGAAACUGGGAAACUUGAGUGCAGAAGAGGACAGUGGAACUCCAUGUGUAGCGGUGAAAUGCGUAGAUAUAUGGAAGAACACCAGUGGCGAAGGCGGCUGUCUGGUCUGUAACUGACGCUGAGGCUCGAAAGUAUGGGUAGCAAACAGGAUUAGAUACCCUGGUAGUCCAUACCGUAAACGAUGAAUGCUAAGUGUUGGAGGGUUUCCGCCCUUCAGUGCUGCAGCUAACGCAUUAAGCAUUCCGCCUGGGGAGUACGGCCGCAAGGCUGAAACUCAAAGGAAUUGACGGGGGCCCGCACAAGCGGUGGAGCAUGUGGUUUAAUUCGAAGCUACGCGAAGAACCUUACCAGGUCUUGACAUACUAUGCAAAUCUAAGAGAUUAGACGUUCCCUUCGGGGACAUGGAUACAGGUGGUGCAUGGUUGUCGUCAGCUCGUGUCGUGAGAUGUUGGGUUAAGUCCCGCAACGAGCGCAACCCUUAUUAUCAGUUGCCAGCAUUAAGUUGGGCACUCUGGUGAGACUGCCGGUGACAAACCGGAGGAAGGUGGGGAUGACGUCAAAUCAUCAUGCCCCUUAUGACCUGGGCUACACACGUGCUACAAUGGAUGGUACAACGAGUUGCGAACUCGCGAGAGUAAGCUAAUCUCUUAAAGCCAUUCUCAGUUCGGAUUGUAGGCUGCAACUCGCCUACAUGAAGUCGGAAUCGCUAGUAAUCGCGGAUCAGCAUGCCGCGGUGAAUACGUUCCCGGGCCUUGUACACACCGCCCGUCACACCAUGAGAGUUUGUAACACCCAAAGUCGGUGGGGUAACCUUUUAGGAACCAGCCGCCCUA